GUGGAUUGCUUGACCAGGGCCACCACCUGGUGGAUGACGUGGUAAAAGGAAUGAGUAUGAAAGAAGCACAUGGCAAGUGAGACCCACGACUUCUAUAACAGAUGAAAUGUAUUGGACCCAAGGUGGAGCAGUGGUCAUAACCCACCGUCACCCAUCACCAUGCCAAAAAUGCUUCCUUGCAGCUCCAGUCUCCAUACAGCAUGGUGUCUUCUAGGUGAACAGACUUUACCUGGCUGGACAUGGGAGACAUUCAUUGUUAAUAUAAAAUAGACAGGAAAUAACAGCUGCAGGAAUAUCCCUUCAUCCACAGAGUUGUGCAAGACACAGCAAGUUUCAGGAUGAAUGGGUUGUGAAGAGCCAGAGACAGGACAGCCAUGGUAAACAGGGAACUGGACUUCUUGCAGCUCCAGUCUCAGCAUGGUGUCUUCUAGGUGAACAGACUUUAUCUGGCUGGACAUGGGGGGAUGUUCUAUAUGAAGCAGACAUAAAAAGGCAGCAACAGGAACAUCUACAUCUCACCUAGUUGUGCAAGACACGUGAUGAAUGGACAGCCAGAGACGGGACAGCCAUUGUAAACAGCAAAUACACUUCUGGAAUUGUGUAAAGAGCUGCUGGCAGACCAAGAGGUCAAUUUCAUAUUAAGUGAGAGAGAGUGCUGCCAGAACCACCUAGAACAAGACUCCCAAAGAUGACAUGCAGAUCCUGUAGAGCCAGUUAUAUGGAACAGUACAAUUGUACAACAAAUGUGGGUUCCAGGUAACACAAAGAAUCCAUUUCCCCCAUAUACAUGGAAACUAUAGAGGCAGGGUAUAUAAAGCAAGGAGAUUGUGUUAGACAAUACUCUAUCACUGAAGACAAAUAGACACAAUGGAAAUGUUUAAAAGUGAAUUGCUAUUUCAGCUCAGUUGUGAUGUGUUAUAAUAAUUUCCCCAUGUGCAUGGAAAUUGUUACAGUACUAGUAGAGGUAGCAUGUAUGCGAGAUUGUAGUAGACAAUAAGCCAUCAGUGAACAGAAAAAGACGUCAUUGAAAAUGUUUUAAUGUGAAUACAUAUAUUUCAGUGCAGAUAUGAUGUGUUAUAAAUAAUCUCUGUUAUUGUGAGGCCAUUAAGUUGCAUAAUGCAAUUUUUAUGACAUUUAUUAUAUACAGACACUUUCAGUCUGUCUAUAUUCUGAUCACUGUGUCUGUCCAGUGUCAUUGCCAUAGUCAGAACUUUGUGACACAUCUGUUGUUUACCCUAUUACUGAUAAACUGUAUUUUUGUUUUUUUUUUUAAUGUUAAUUCCUCUAGAAAAUCAUCAUGAUUGGAUUAUUUAAUGAUAUUGCUUUGUUAUCUUAAGCAUUUUGGAUAUGAUGCUACAAUAUGUCCUGAGUAUUUCAAAUUGAUGUAGCAAUGUAGAUAUGUUUGUGUAUUUUUGUCCGUCUUUGUUUCUGAUUCUGAUAUUUGUUUUAAUUACUAAAUAUGUUGUCAUUUUGUGAAUUUAUGAAAUUAUUAUAAGUUUAUUGUUAAAUGAUUUGUCAAGUGCAUGACAGAGUCAGAAGGUUCAUUGGUCUGAUAGUUUGAUGAUGUAAAUGUCCAGCUGUUCCAAAGGUGUACUAGUCAGAAGGUUCACUUGCAUGAGGUUUCAUUGGUUCAGAGGUUGUAAAGUCCCAAAGUAUGAAUGGUAUAUAGUGUAAUGUAGCAGUGAUAAUAUCUGUGGAGGGCGAUAAUAUAUUUAAUGACUUUUCAUGACUCUAUAAUGCCCCAGCUUUGGGCAGGUUUUACUUAAUCUGUAAUUUUCAUUGUUUUUGAGCACACAUAUUUAGUUUUAUGGGCUAAUUGUCUGCUGCUGUAAGGAUAAAGACAGAUUUCAACACACACAAGCUAUAUUUAAAACGUUAAAAACAGUGAA
rnacentral:lncRNA from 1 species